UUAGACAAUAGGCAAACUCGGAGCAAUCCGGAGACGCAAAGCCACGGAUCCACUUGGGACAGCCUGGUUGUUAAG
rnacentral:ncRNA from 1 species